UCAGCUAAAGUCGGUGAAUGUAUUCGAUGCGCAUAAACUUCAACUUCGUGGUUAUACUGGCCACUUAAGCCAAAUCUAGAAGAGACUGCGAAGGUGCAUCAUUUGUGCUGUGGUGAGAGCAUCAAGAAAACAUUUGGCAGAACCAAUAUUACGAGUGUCAAAAAUAAUGCGAUUAGUAUUGACGCAAUGAUCCCAAAAUUGGACGCAGCGACCAUGCAGAAAAGUGCUCAUUAUGCGUGUCCUUUCAUGGGGACGGUGCUUCUUUCUUAAAAUACGCAUUAGCAAUGGUCUGUUCACAAACUUCUAUUGGCAGCCUCUCCUUUAAGAAAGACGCCACGGAAUGCUGAAUUUGGCUAGCACCAGUUCUGUCACAAACUAUAUAAAUCUUUUCGGGCAACCUAUUGUGAACACCAAAGAAAAGGAAGAACAGGCAGAGAAUUUGGCCUUGCAAUGUUUGAACUGAGCGCCUCCAUGUUGCUUGCAUUCUUCGUGUUUUCGAUUGCUCGCAAUACGAGAUCGUACGCGUGUGACAUGAACGUCGUCGGAACG